rnacentral:rRNA from 1 species
UACGUAGGGGGCAAGCGUUAUCCGGAUUUACUGGGUGUAAAGGGAGCGUAGACGGCAGUGCAAGUCUGAAGUGAAAAUUCGCGGCUCAACCGCGAAACUGCUUUGGAAACUGUACAGCUAGAGUACCGGAGGGGUAAGCGGAAUUCCUAGUGUAGCGGUGAAAUGCGUAGAUAUUAGGAAGAACACCGGUGGCGAAGGCGGCUUACUGGACGGUAACUGACGUUGAGGCUCGAAAGCGUGGGGAGCAAAC